GGGCGCAUGGCCUAAUGGUAAGGCGUUAGAUUUCGGUUCCCAUGUCGACCUCUAAAGAUUGCAGGUUCGAUCCCUGCUGUGCUCG
rnacentral:tRNA from 1 species